UAAAUAAAUGUCUUUCGACAACUUUUUGCUGUUUCAUGACUAUAAAUUAAAUGUGAUAAGUGUCCUCUUGAGACGCCUGCAGAAUCAAAUACAGAAUACGUUGACAACAAAAUGUUUUAUUAACCUUUUUCCUGUAUCGUACUAUCUUGCCCUUAGGCCAGAUUUAUCGUCUCUCUCUCUCUUGCAGACAUGCAAAAACAAUUACAAAAGCCACGCAUAAAUUUAUAAAAUGCCAAAGGAAAGCCGACAGGCGCAAAAAUAAUGAUAUCAUAAAAAUACGAAAAUGUAUAUAUACAAAUAUACAUAUAUAUGUAAAUACAUAUGUAUGUAUGCAAAUGAUGCGCCAGAUAGUUGAGGGCGACUCCUUGCAGACGAGAAGGAGCCUUCAGUGGCCCCCUUGACCCACAUACACAUGUCGCAGCGGACAUGCGUGUACUUGUGCGCGCCAUACAUAGCCUAUAUGCGACAUUAGUGUCGCCAUUUUGCGUAAAUAAAAUAAAUAAUUAUAUAUACACGCACUCGAAUUAAUCAUGUCAGAUUCGAUAGAUGCCGCACAUAUAUCUGAUAAUAAAUAGCUGGAAUAUCUGCGCUUAUGUAAUGCAUAUGAUAAAUAUAAUAAAUGCGUAACCGGAUGCCCAAAGGACAUGUGAUUGAUAUUGUAAUAUGUGUAUCAUUUAAAUUUUGUUUAGUUUUAUAACUUGAUUUCAAAUUGAAAUGGGCAAAAGGGUUAUUAUAUCUUUGUGCAGGCAGAAGAAGUCGUGCUCGACCCCAUGAGGUAUAGAUAUUCUUGAUUAGGUCAAUUAGUUGAGGCAGUCGAAUGCCUCAUCCUUUCGGAAUCCAUCUCAAUUAGGUCAAGAGCCAUAUAUUUAUAUGUGCUCGUAUAUCCACACAGAACGAGUUUAUUUUUAUGUUCUACUUCCGAUAAAUAUCGAUUUUGGACAAAAAGUUCUUAGACAUCAAAUAUGGUAUGCUGCUUCUUUCAGAUUAAGUUAGUGAAUGAACAUGGAAAAAAUCUUUAUUCAAAGGUAGAGCCGAGCCGAGUGUGGUGUGCCAUAUUUUGGCCCUGGUCAUUUUUUAAGGAUCGAACUCUAAGAAUCGAUGUCUUAGAUGCUUGGCUGUGUUCAGGGCAUCUGCAAGUUGGCCUUUCUCGACUUGUGUAAUUCCUGCUAGUUUUUAGUAACGAAAAUUUGUUUGUUAUAAAUUAUGGGCUAAAUAUUUUACUACUUUGUAGACAUCUCAAUUGUUUGCUCUCUUUGUUUGAACUACCAUAACGACAAUAUUUGAUAAACUAGUCUACUCAUUGAAUCCUUUAUUGAGCAACUGCAGCUUAAGACAAUCAACAAUGCAAUUCCACCCAAGGCUAAAAAGGGAAUUAUGGAAAAAGGCUAGCCGUCUUCUGCCUUGUUCUUUGCGCUCUCUAUCCUUAAACGUUUUUGCUCCUCGCACACUUUCGCAUAUUGCGAGCUAAUGAGUACUCAUAAAUUGUGAGAUAUUUUCUUGUUUUGCGGUUUUCUCAGUCGUCUCGCUUAAUGCGAGCCCAAUUUAUUGGCAAUUUCUCGGCGUUAUAUGAAAUAUAUUUGUUGUAUUCUUAUGUUUUGUUGUUGUGCUGGGGUAAAACAGGCUGCCACGCCCUUACUCCGGCAUAUAAGACCGCCCGCAUUUCCCACAAUGAGCUCGCCGAAAACUUUGCGUAUUUCUUAUGGCUCCGUUUUUUUUGGGUUUUCUUCUUCUUUUUUUUAACACUUUGUUUUGCCAAUUUCGAAUUUGUCAUAUCAACCACUUGCCGCUGUCUUUGGCCAGAAUUUGAUUUAUGUCGCGUGCGCGUUUUUUUGUUUUUACUAUAUAAAUCACACACUCAUUCAGAUAUCGAGUACUUGUGCAGAGUUUUGUUUGCGACUAAAUGAAAACUUCAUGCAAGUUGUGUAUUGUUUUGUGCUUAUCUUUCGGAUUGUUUGCUGCUGUUACCUGUCAAAUUGAUAAGAACCUAACAGCUAAAUGCCAUCUAGGCAAUGUGCCUAACUGUGAGUCAUACAGAAUAAAUUGCUUUGAUUUGUCAGACAUUUAAACAAACGAAAUUCCCAUAUUUUAACAUAUAAGUAGAAGUUUAUAAGAGUAAAAAAAAAAAACAAAUCUAGCAAAAACCUUUUUGCAGAUGAUUCAUAAAAAAUCAAUAAGGGAAAAAGCAGCUUAAAAAUGCAUAAACUUUUGCAAUUUGCAUAUAAAAUAUGCAUGAUUGUCAUGGAAUCCGCAAUUUAUAUAGUAUAUAUCCGUUUUAUAAAUAUAUAAAAUACCUGAGAUACAAUUCCGUUUCAAUCAUAAAACAGCUACAAUAAUGUUUAAACCAUUUGCGUGAUUGAAUAAUCUUCAAUAGUUAAAAGAAACUUUCUUCAAAGUACUUAUUUCAAGAAUUCUCAUACUUAAAAUAAGCCUAAAACGUUAUCAAUAAAGAUAAAUAACAUUUCUCAGCUAAGUAGACUUUUAACUCAGACUCAGACAUUUCUUAAUUAUCUUCAAGUUGUGCAAUUUAGACCACAUACUUUCAUUUAUUAUAGAAUAUUGGCUUUAUUUUCUCUAGCCAAAUCCUGCAACUGUAAUUGUAAAAGUCAUGUGCUUUGUCGAUUUGCCUACGCUUUGGACAUUCCGAGUGCUCAUCCAACUGCCCGCAGACCAUUUGCCAGUGCGCCUCCACUUCCACUUACUUCCAUAUCGAUUUGCAUAGUCGUCCUUUGUGGCCACGGGCAGAGUUCUGGUUAUCAAUGUUUCAGCCAUGCUCACACAAAAAUAAAUGAUACAGCGGCUGGCAAUGGCAAUGGCAAGAAAUACACAGCACAAAACCAAAACUGUGCUGCUUAUGGCCCUAAACGAGAAAUGUCAUUUUCAUCUGGAAAAAAUUAAUACGAGCUAAACUAGGAGUUAACCUAAGGAAGUGCUUCUUCGCUUGGUUAAUUGUCAAUCAAUAACUUCCGCAUUUAUUCUCCGAUCUUAUCAAAUUGUGUGUAAAUGGCAAAGCCAAAGUCUGUGUUGUAUCGCUUUCAUAGAAAUGGAUCAGCUAGCCAAAAGUUGAAGAAACCUUUAAUAUGCGAUUGUAUUGAUAUGCGCUUAAUAACGGAAUAUACUUAGUAUAUGUAUUAGUUAUAGUUUUUGCUUUUGAAGUGUAAAAAACAAACAAUUUUAUUCGGAGAGUACUCCAAGCUCUGUUCACUCCUUGACCUUUGGGUGGAGAGGCGAGAAGAGGUGCUGCCUUGGCCAAGAGAAACUUUUUUGCAUUACGCAUUUUCAAUGCGCUUGAUUGAAAGUGCAAAAUUCUCUGGUUCUUUAUUUAUUGAUAAAAUGCACUUUAAAUUUGUCAAACAGUUUAUAAAGACAAAUGCUGAUUGGAAAUAGAUGCAAAACCUUUUGAGAUAUUUCGAUAAUUUUGCAGGCAAAUGGCAAAACACGUUCACUACCGAAAAGUGCGAAUAGAAUUUGCGACAAUCAAAAGCACAAUUCAUGUGCGAGAAACUAAAAUUCAUCCAGAAUAUAAUAGUAAUUCUUUGUUUUAUCUGUAAGAAUAUUUCCUUUGUAUUCCACACUCGGCAUAUUCACAAAUAUAUCUUUAUCGAGGACAUUUAACCCACGGGCCAUGUCUGUUAUGUCGUAUGUGUUUUUGGCUCAGCACAGUUUUUUAUUGCUUGCGCUUCACAACUGUUUUGCACGUUGACAGCAGCUUGAGGAAAUAUUUGGUUGUCAUUCAUUUAACUUGACAAUGCCUGCAGAAAUUUGUUCUACGAGGUCAACUUGCUCGGCUGUUCAUUAAUUUUUGGCCAGCUGUGCGAGCUCUCUGGCAGAAAGUCGGUCGAGGCAGCGUUCAAAAUCAAUUAAUAAUCGCCAUGUUUUCCAGACAUGUGUACAUGCAACAUGUGACAAAAUGGCGCGUGCUGCCUGCCACACACAGAGCAUAAGAAGAGGCUGGGAGGGGGAUUAGAUGGGAAUACGACUUCCGGCGCCUAGAGUCGUUUCCUAUUCCGCACGCUUCGAGUAUUUAUGUGCUUUUGCGAAUUUCAUCCGAAAAAUGGCCUAGUUUCAUUCAGCUAGCACAAAAACAAACAAUAUGUGUGUUCAUUGGCGACUGUUGCGCAUGCUGAAUUUUUAAACAGCAGCCGCAGCAGCACAGGUAGAAAGGUAAAUGCUGUCAGGACAGACAUGCAUGCCUGCAGCUAUCAUUGCAGUACAGGCAUUUACUGGAAUUUCAGUGAGAGAGUGAGUUCAGUGAUUGCCAGUUGUGGUCCGCUUGUGUAUUUGUAAUUAUAAAUUCAUAUCAGCAUUUUUUGGAUAACCAACGCCAAGCCAGCUCCAGCACACACAUACGUCACGUCUAAUGACAGUUGCGUGUCCAGAGAAAUUACAGAGUAUGCGGUCAUUCAACUUUGUGGCUUGACGGAGGGGCCAAAAUUUGGGUAGUUCAACUAAAGCCAGGAUUUUAAGUAAACUUUUCACAUAUUUGCUUAGCUUUGAUUAAAGCUUUCCUUCUUGAGAAAUUAUUGAUACAAAAUUUCCCAUCACAUUAUACAUUAGGCGCGUAUUAUCAUAUUAAACAUAAAGAGUUUUUGCUUUUACUUAAGAACUUUUAAUUACUUUUAUUAAUAAUUAGGAAGAAACUUGUUUUUGUCGAACAUACAAAACUAAAUAAAAUGCGGAAGCGAACAAAGUAAUCAAGCUCCUUGCACUGGCAUCGAAAUAUAUUGUGCCUGCCUUUAAUUUCGGUAUCAGAUAUUUAUUUAAUAUUUCCUGUUACUCAAAUUGGCCUUUGCUAUGAGCACGUUAUUGAUAUUUCUUUGGAUUUAUAAUUGCAAUUUGCAGCUAUUGUCCGGUUUAUCAGUGUCCUGUUCAUGCGGCUUCGCACAUGCUGACAUUCGAGCUGUUGUCCUUCGUUGCGGACCCUUGUCCGCAGUAACCAUAAAAGCAAAUGCAGCUGCCAAAAUGUGUAAUGCAAGCUUAAUAAAUUUAACAAUGUUAACGCACAACGGAGCGUAUAAACAGACAGAGAGCGCGAAUCAGCGAUAGAGGGAGAUGUGGAGUGAGAUAUGGAUACGCCCACUCAAAAUCAAUAGCUGCAUUUUCUCAGUACUUGGCUGGGCUUAAUUUCAUUUGCCGCCCAUACGCCUUCGUCCUGCACAGCUGGACCGCUCCUGCUUCCUGGCUUCCUGGCUGACGGACAAAACCGCAUCGCAACACAAUGCGAUGCAGUCCGUUGGUCACAAUGCAGUUCUUGACCUUGCACUUGUCGCUGCGUCGUAAUCAUUGUCCUUGCGUCAAGUUGCAAUUUCUGCGUGACAUUCGCACGGCUCUCAUUCAAUUUACAGCCCCAUUCCCGCAUCCCUUGCCAAGGACAUCCCUUGAAUUAUGCUUAAUUGAAGGCCAUCAAGUGGCUUCAUUAGAGAGGCAACAGCCAACAAAUUUCCCCGCUCUAUUGUGCUCAAUAUUGCUAACCCCCCCUCAUCAUUCCCUUCCUUUCCCACCCCGGCCCAUCAUAAAUUUGACACUCAAGACCCCCAAGGCCAAGUCACUUAAAUUAUAUAGAAAUUCAUUUAAGAAAUUGCGACACUAAUUUGACUAAUCAUUUACAAGUAUUUAUGAGCAGUUGCAAAUUUCCGCUAAAAGCGAGCGAAACAUGUGCCUGUUACGUGUGUUAUACCCUGUCGCCACAUUUUAGCGAGCGUAUCAGUUUUACUAAUUAUAAACUUUAUAACAUGCAAAAGUUUUCAUUUGCUCUUCAGUCUUCUUUUAAAUGUUGAAUAUUUUUACAAUUAAAAAUUGUGAAUAUUUGGGACGACAAAUAACAAAUUAUAUCACAGAGGAAUGCCAAAAAAAAAAAAAUUAAUCGAGUCAUGCAGAAAACAUUCAAAAAUAAGGUUUUAUUAUAAUUUGUGGAAAUUUUAAAUAGAUUAUGGUCCGUGUAAGCACUAGCAGUGCAGGGUAUCUACAGAACGUGCAGUAUUUGAAGGAAAUUGGCUUGUUUAAGGCACAUUCGGUUGGGUGCAAAUUAACCUUAGACAUGUGGGCGGCAGCUGGCGCUUAUAAGUAGGCAAUGACAGCGGCAACACAUUAUCAUUAUUAGCAAUGACAUUAUUAUCGACAUCGUUAUUAUCAUCAUCAUUGUCAUCAUCGUCAUUGCAUUGUGGCCACAUUCAAUAUGUAUGGUAAAAGUUUUCAAUUUGUAUGUCAGAUUCUUUUCUUUUUCCAUUCCAUUCCUUUUGAUGCUAGUCUCUGCACAUGACUGCCAUUUACUUUCCGUUUCCGUUACAUUCUGCUCACGACUUUUGUUGCUGAUAAGACGCGACCCGCAAAUAUCAAAAAAGUAGUGGAGCUCCGGCUCCGGAUUUGGGUGCGGCUCGGGCUGGGAGUACGCGGGCUCACAUGUAAUUUGAUUUCGUUUCGUGCCUAGCGCAAAUAUGGGUUAAUGCGAUUUUAUGUCAUUUAUAUAUUGUUGAUUUUUGCCAGACUGCAAAUAUGCGUGUGUAAAUGUGUGUGUGUGUGUGUGUGUGUGCAUAUAGGGCUUAAAUGCGGCUCACGCAAAUGGCAAUUUACUGCUUGGAAAUUGUCGAAUCACAUCUUUGGGAAGGGCAGGCCCAACUUCUGCAUGUGGCAGGGCCGAGUCUUGUGCACAGAACGAAAGGCUUCAAAUAUUUCCUAACCGAGCUGCAACGUUUGCCAUUAGGUAUAAGCCAAUGGCUCAUUGUCUAAGCAAAUGUUUCAAUUUCUACGCACAGAUGGGCAAUUGGUCGUAAUUUUCCUGGAACAAUAUGCAUUUGCAUUGCUUUGCGAUUUGAGCAGCUGCGUCAUCAUCAUCCCCAUUCACAAAAACAACAAAUGUAGCACAUCAAAUUGCACAUAACUUGUCAAUUGUUGUUGGUUUUGUAUUUGCCUGAUAUGCCUGUCAAGGACUCGUGUCUAUCUGUGUGAAAAACCCAUUGUUGUCAAGGCAACUAGCAAAAUGAGCGCAACUUUUAGUCGUGCUUAUUUUUUGCAUUAUUGAAAAGCAAAAUAAUAUCAAUUACUGAAAAUAUUAUCUGCAAUGUGUUAUGCAAUUAUAUAAACAGCAAAGCUUACACAGGUCAACAUUUAAUAUUUUUUUUACCAAUUUUUUAUCUGGACAAUCUCUUUGUGGUUAUUUCUCACAUUUAUAAAUUGACUUUGCAGCUGCAAAUAAAUUCGCGCAGUUCGAUUGGAGAUUAAUGAAAUAUAUAAUAAAAAUGUAAUUAAAAAUUGAAGCAUUUCCGCUUUGUUAUUUCGUUUCCCACUAAAAUCAAUAGCAGCUAUAAAAAGUCUUUAAUUAAUUAAUCAAUAGCUGCAGCUGAUUUACUUUUGCAUGCGACAAGCACGUUCCACAUGCAGCCACACACUCAUUAAGCACACAUGUGCUUUCGCAUGCAGCUACACAUGCAGUUACAAACAUAUGUAUUCGCAUGCAGCCACAGACUCAUUAUAUACACAUGUGUAUUCACAUGCAUUUAUGUUACACAUAUGUGUAUUCGCAUGCAGCCGCACACGCAUUUACACACAUGUGCAAUCGCAUGCAGCCACACACGCAUUUACACACAUGUGCAUUCACAUGCAGCUACACAUGUGCUUUCGCUUGCAGCCACACAUGUGUAUUCGCAUGCAAAACGUGCAUGAUUCUUACACAUACACAUGCGCUCGCUGGCGUGGUUCUGUCAUCAUCUAUUAAAGGUUGUGCGAUGUCAGGCGUGAAUUAUUUGAGAAUACAUAUGUAUAUAACACUACAGAUACAGUGGUGGAAAACGGUCCAUUAAAUAACGCUUAGCCUAUUGAAGGCUUAACGCAAUUGACACGGGCGGCUAGUGGGCAUUAUUAUUUGAUUUCAGAAAUGAAAUUCGCACCCUAGAAAAAUAAUGAUAAGAAUUGAGAUUGUAUUCCACGUUUGAUUUACAGAUUUUUGUGGCUGUUUAAACUUCAUAAUACUUUAUACCAUAUACUAAUGUGCUUUUUACUUCCUUUACCAAGGCCAAGAGAAGUUUUGGCAAGCAAAGUCUUAAAAGUUUUCUGGUCUUUAAUUUAACAACGCCGGAACCCAACUUUGUUGCACUGUGCUAAAAUGUUUAUUGAUUAUUUGCUUGUGCGGAUUGUGUUCAUGUGUUUGCCUGUUUAAUUGUUUGGCCGACAGCCGAUUUUAAUCAGGGAAAAGCUUGACGUCAAGGAUAUGCCCGAAGAAUAUAUACGAAUAUGCUUCUGAAUACAAAGUUUUUAAAUAUAAUUAUGCUUGCCCAACCCCAAAGCUAUAAAGAAAUGUGCAGUCUAAUAAGUAGCGUCUAAUGCAGUCUAAUGAGAAAAGCAAUGAGCCAUGCUCACAAUAUACCAUGAAUAAUUACCACAAAAGAGUGAAUACUCAUUGCACGCAUUUUCAUUUGAAUCAAGCGUGUCUCAGUCUUUGGGAUUAAGUACGUGUGCACGACGAACAUCAUGUAUUGAGUUUUUAUUACUCACGCCUUUGCCAUCUAAAUUGCCGCCUUCCGGUGAAUCAGGCCCGCAAUUGAUUGCGUCAAUUUGUUUUAACUAUAUGCGGUUUUCGCAUUGCUGUGUGCAUUAGUUGAAUUUUCCCCGGCACAUGCAGCGCAUGUAUAUAGUUCCCAGUAAUUUAAUUAAAACAAUUUAGAAAUAUUAAAUUACAACAUGCAUCAGAAAAGUGCUCUCUUCGCGCAUUCUCGAUGCUGUAGAGUUUCGCUUGUAUUUCGUGCCUCUGACUGACAAUACUAUGUCGAUAAUUAAUUGAGUGCUUGUUAAUAUAAAAGCAGAGAGAACGGCACACCGAAGAUGAUAUACUCUUGCCGACAUGUGCUCGUAAUCGAAUUUGGUGAAUAAUCAACAUGAAACAUAGAAACAUAAACUUUAUAAUAUUGACAAGAUUUGGCUUAAAAGUAAUCAGAACGAGGAACUUUUUUAACGUUUCAUGAAGAUAGCUUUAAAGCUGCAAGAAAAAUAUAUAUUUUCGACUAUACUAUAUACUAUAUAUAUACUUUAUGGGAUCGGAAAUAUCUUCUUCUAAGAUACUCUAUCCAAGAGUAUAAACAAUUAGAAAUUCAUAGCUAUCUUUCUCUCCCUCUCUCUCUCUCUCUCUCUCUAACCUGCAUACGCCCCUAUUAGAAACUCUUGUUUCUCAUUUAUUUUAUUCGGAACUUACACAGAUUUAUAAUUACUAAAAAUCGAUUUCCAUGGCUCAUUUUUCGAGUGAAUCGCGAACGCGUUUCUCUGUGUUCAAAGGUCAUUUGAACAUUAACUGAAAGCUGUUCAGCUAGGUUAUAUUUAGUUCGAGGGCUUAUGCACUGCUUUUAUAGUUCAUGAAAUGUCACUUAUGCCAUAUUUUUGGGAUCUCUUCAAACAUUGUCAGUUACGUGACGUGCAUGCAUGUUUUAAUAAGUGCACACAUAUCUCGCAACAAUAAUGCUAAUGCUAAUGAAUGCGACCUUGUUAUUGCGCCCGAGUUGUAUAAGGCCCAAUGAGAGAGCUUGACAAUUGCUAAUAAAGUGCAAACUUAGCUGCACAUUUCCCACACGGAAAAUGCGAAUUGUCAUCGUUCGCAUUAUUGCGACUAUUUAUGAUUGCAUUGCUAAGGAUUCUAAUUACAAUUGACCAACGUGUGCUGCAUUGCUAACUCUUUCCAACUCUUGUUUCAUAACUGGCCAUUGUCGAGUCGAAGGACUCGCAGAGGGGGAAAUGUCGCCACGUUUUUCUCGUUGCAUAUCAAUUUUUCUACGGCAUGAAAAUUUGUGUGUCUAUUUCGGUCGCUCCUUUUAUUUUCGCAGGUUUUUUUUGGGGGGUACUUUCUCCUUUUUUUCCUCUCGCCAUGCAUCGAUUUCUGCGCCCAUUUGAUUGAAUUAGGCCGUGUUAGGAAUUGAAAAAAGGUCCAUGAAAAUAUAGAUUGAUGCAGAUACUCGUGCAAAUAACUAAAUUGAUUCUUCAGUCACAUCUAACCGCUAUAAAAUGUGCCUUAUAAUUGCUGUUUAACAGUCAGGAGAAGGCUUCUGCGACUCGAUGAAAUAGAUAUAUUGUUGGCCAGCAUCAAGGCCCAGUCUAGUUAGCCGUGUUCGUCUGUCUGUAUAAGGACUGGAAAUCUGGAACAUGGUUUGAUAUUUUGCCCGCACAUGAAUUCUUUAAGAAUAACCAAAUUUAACGUGUACCCUCUCGAAUAGUUAUAUACAAAUUUCGACGACUUUGGGACCGUGAUCCCAUCUAGUUUUCUUCCUGUUACCGACUUAGCUCCAAUUUAUUGAUUUUAGAUGCUUUAUCAACUCGAUGAGUCUGCCACAAUCACAUACAUUCAUUUGAAUUCUACAAAUAUAAUUGCGAUAGCUAUGAUAUGAAUUAUUGCUGCUAUUUUCAUUCAGUUUUUCCGUAAAAACCAGAAUGUUAGUAUGACAUUAAAGAAAAGAAUGCCAAGAUCACGUUUGUCGUAAAUCUAGAAAACGUUUCUUUGGAAAAAAAGUUAAUUAUCUAAUAUGUUAGAGACCUCGUUAUUAGUUAUAAAUAUUUAGAUACUUUUGUGCACAUCAAGAAUUGAAAAGUAAAAUGUUAAAUUAUGGGAAAAAAAUUAGUUUUGUAGAAUAUUCUAAGUGCGUAUUCAAAUGCAUGACAGAUGAUGAUGUUGUAUAAUAUAUAUGGAGAGCUUGUUGCCAAACUCCUGCAUCUCAAGGCCCUUUAACUUACAUAUAUAUAUAUAUUUAAGAAUGUUGCAUAUACAUGCACUAAGUAUAUAUACAUUUGCUGUACACGUUAACAAUGCGGGACGCCGUUUGCAUGCCGAAGCAGCAACAGCUUGGCCAAAAGGCAGCUACACGGCCAACAAAAAAGUUUCAGCCAAAUACGUGCAGCGUGCACAGAAGUGUACAGAAACAUAUAUAUAUAAUAUAUAUAUAUAUAUAUAUAUGUGUGUGUUAUGUAUACUAGCCAUACAUAAGUAGAUGUAGCAAGGGAUUAAAAACUGGGCCAAAGUUCAUUCUGUGCCUAAUGAAUAAAUUUCAGCAGUGGAUGUCAGUUUGCGACGUGCUUUCAAAUAGAUGAAACAAAAACAAUUGCACAAAACUUUCAAAUAAAUAUAAUCAAAGUUGUUUAUUGAAACUGGAUAAUCAAACUAGCUUCAAGAAUUGUUUAAAAUUAAGCAGGCUUUCAAUGAAAGUAAACAAACUGCAGAUAUUGCGAAUUCAAGUUGCAGGCUUGAGAAAUUUGUAUUUAAAAUAUAUUUACUAAAGGAUUUACGACUGAUAACAAACUUGUUUGCAGCAAGUUUAAGAUAUACAUUUAUUUACGCUCUACCUUGAGCGUAAGCUCAAUCAGAAGUUAGUUUUAUUUUGAUUUGGAAAGAAAGUUUUCCUCGUUGAAGCACUUGUUCAUUCUCUUGUUUAAUGCAAGAUCCGAAGUAGUUAGCUAUGAAACACUUCUCAAAUACAUUCAAAAAAAUAACUUAACAAAAUACUUGAGUAUUUUCCGACGUGUCUUGAACACAUAAAAGUAUACACAGCCAAAUUUGCAGCUUUCUAGAUCUUAUCAGGAUAAUGUCCUGUGACAAUGUCCUGACGUCCUGUGGCUAAUUGAGUAGCUUCAAUUAUUGCUGUGUAUCUGAACAAAUUCUUAAUGCUUGGCCACAGCUGCCCCCACCUCUGCUCCUGCUUCUGCUUCUGCUGUUGUAUCCUGCACAGAGACUGAGAUAAAUGAUCUAGGACUUUAGGCAUUUAUUUCUCAAAGGAGCUGUUGACCGACCACAAACGGCUUCAUUCAAUUUGAAACACAUUGCACAUUGCUUUGGGAACAUGCAAUAUUUCUUAAAUGUACUUACGUAUAGGUUUUGUGCCCAACACACAUCAAUCUGCGGUGCAGGCUUUCAACUUUGGCAUUCCGGCAAAUUUUGGUAUGCAAAAUACGACAGAUGAUUCAAUUAAAUGAUUUAAAUGCUCUCACGCUGGAUGCGGCUUCAGCCAGCCAGGGUUUCACUUGGAUUUGCGUAAUUUCUUGCCAACCAGUGCAAAACAUGAUUAAUUAGUGCAUAUCGAUUUUACCACCUGGCAUCCCUUGCCCUUAUCAAGUGGCUGCUCGCAAUCGUGGCGUAUACUUAAUGUUCCUCUUGGCUAGAUUGCGUCACGUUUCCGUUUCUUUUGUCUAUUUGCCUGGCUUCUAAAAUCAAAUACAAAAACCUGAUUAUCGGCGGCGAGUAAUAAAAGUUGCCAGCUUUCGAACUUGACUUGGCCACAAAAAGAAAAUAUAUACAAAAAACCUGCGUUGCUUGUUUCGAUAAUAUUCGCAUUUAUACCCUGUAAAAAACGACGGAGUGGAAUAAAUUAGCAUAAAAAGUUUACACACUAUAUGAAAAGUUAACAAAAACAAAAGCUAUUCGGGUUUCUGAGCUGUAAUAAACUAGUUUACAGCCAGAAUAAUAGACAGUUAAAGUUAAAUCUGAAUAUAUU